AACGAACGCUGGCGGCAGGCUUAACACAUGCAAGUCGAACGCAUCCUUCGGGGUGAGUGGCAGACGGGUGAGUAACGCGUGGGAACGUGCCCUUCAGUUCGGGAUAACCCAGGGAAACUUGGGCUAAUACCGGAUACGUGCGAGAGCAGAAAGAUUUAUCGCUGAAGGAUCGGCCCGCGUCUGAUUAGCUAGUUGGUGGGGUAAUGGCCCACCAAGGCGACGAUAAGUAGCUGGUCUGAGAGGAUGAUCAGCCACAUUGGGACUGAGACACGGCCCAAACUCCUACGGGAGGGAGCAGUGGGGAAUAUUGGAAAAUGGGCGCAAGCCUGAUCCAGCCAUGCCGCGUGAGUGAUGAAGGCCUUAGGGUUGUAAAGCUCUUUCGUCCGGGACGAUAAUGACGGUACCGGAAGAAGAAGCCCCGGCUAACUUCGUGCCAGCCGCCGCUGUAA
rnacentral:rRNA from 1 species